rnacentral:lncRNA from 1 species
GCUGCAUGUUUAUUAAAAUUAAAAAAAUUGCGCUAUUUACAGUUUUAUAAAAUUUGGGUCACAUAAUCUCCUUGCUAAUGAAACAAAUUGCUAUUUUAAAAAAUAGGGGUCCAUGCACUCGUUUUCAAAUUAAAUCAGUUUGAAUGAUAAAAAUCAGUCGAAAAAUGCAUCUUUUCCCAAUAUGUCAUAGUUUGACGUCGCGAAAAUAACAUUUUACGUUAGCAACGUCAUUACCUUCCCUGUAACUGUAUCGUAUGCCCUUAA